rnacentral:tmRNA from 1 species
GGGGGCGUAAAGGUUUCGACGGGGGUUUUGAACUGAGUUAAGCGAGUAGCGGAGUUGCACCGCUUUAAAAGUAACACUUUAUAAAUUAAACAACACUAAUAAUGUUGCUUUAGCAGCGUAAUGCUGCUCGUUCCCUGUCAGGUACCGCUACUGACAAGCGGAGCGUCGACUUAGCGGUAAAUGUGAGCGAAAGAUAGUCUUGUAUUUCGCCAUAAACUUAAAGGACUACUCAAAUUAACAGAUUGUUGACUGUCGGUUUUUUGGGGAAUUUUUUAUAGUCAACUGCACUCGGAGAAAGAUUCAGGAACGAAUUUUCGGACAGGAGUUCGACUCUCCUCGCCUCCACCA